GCCGGGCGCGGUGGCGCCUGUAGUCCCAGCUACUUGGGAGGCUGAGGCUGGAGGAUCGCUUGAGCCCAGGAGUUCUGGGCUGCAGUGCGCUAUGCCGAUCGGGUGUCCGCACUAAGUUCGGCAUCAAUAUGGUGACCUCCCGGGAGCGGGGGACCACCAGUUUGCCUAAGGAGGGGUGAACCGGCCCAGGUCAGAAACGGAGCAGGUCAAAACUCCCGUGCUGAUCAGUAGUGGGAUCACGCCUGUGAAUAGCCACUGCACUCCAGCCUGGGCAAUAUAGCGAGACCCUGUCUCUU
rnacentral:SRP_RNA from 1 species